rnacentral:rRNA from 1 species
UACGUAGGGAGCAAGCGUUGUUCGGAUUUACUGGGCGUAAAGGGCGCGUAGGCGGCUGAUCAAGUCAGUUGUGAAAUCUCUGAGCUUAACUCAGAACUGUCAACUGAUACUGCUCUGCUAGAGUGCGGAAGGGGCAAUCGGAAUUCUUGGUGUAGCGGUAAAAUGCGUAGAUAUCAAGAGGAACACCUGAGGUGAAGACGGGUUGCUGGGCCGACACUGACGCUGAGUGCGCGAAAGCCAGGGGAGCAAACGGG